rnacentral:misc_RNA from 1 species
GAUGAAGAACGUAGCGAAAUGCGAUACGUAGUGUGAAUUGCAGAAUUCAGUGAAUCAUCGAAUCUUUGAACGCACAUUGCACCUCUCGGUAUUCCGGGAGGUAUGCCUGUUCGAGCGUCAUUUGUACCCUCAAGCUCUACUUGGUGUUGGGUGUUUGUUCCGCCUCUGUGUGUGAACUCGCCUCAAAACAAUUGGCAGCCGGCGUACUUGUUUCGGAGCGCAGCACAUUUUGCGAUCCAGAUCAACGUACAGCGGCAUCCAAGAAGCCUUAUUUAACGCUCUUGACCUCGGAUCAGGUAGGGAUACCCGCUGAACUUAAGCAUAUCAAAAGCGGAGGA